UGUGAAUUCUGUGAACUGCAGGACACAUGAACAUCGACGUUUCGAACGCACAUUGCGGUCCAUGGAUUCCGUUCCCGGGCCACGUCUGGCUGAGGGUCGGCUGCAUAUACUGAAGCUCGGGGCGUUUGUCCCGCUUCGGAGACGUGGGUGUGUCGUGGCGGCCUGUUGGGGCCGUCCACGUCCCCUGAAACGUGCGAUGCGCGCCCGUCGCCUGGCGGUUCGCAUACCGGUACUGUCUCGGUAGCGUGCACAGCCGGCUGGCGGUGUGGCGUGCGACACCUCGUACAACGACCUCAGAGCAGGCGAGACUACCCCCUAAAUUUAAGCA
rnacentral:rRNA from 1 species